AUUGAACGCUGGCGGUAUGCUUAACACAUGCAAGUCGAACGAUGAGAAAGAGCUUGCUCUUUCGAUUAGUGGCGGACGGUGCGUAACGCGUAGGAAUCUACCUAUUAGUGGGGGACAACUUAGGGAAACUUAAGCUAAUACCGCAUACGCCCUACGGGGGAAAGAAGGGGAUCGCAAGACCUUUUGCUAAUAGAUGAGCCUGCGUAGGAUUAGCUAGUUGGUGGGGUAAAAGCUCACCAAGGCGACGAUCCUUAACUGGUUUGAGAGAAUGAUCAGUCACACUGGAACUGAGACACGGUCCCGACUCCUACGGGAGGCAGCAGUGGGGAAUAUUGGACAAUGGGCGAAAGCCUGAUCCAGCAAUACCGCGUGUGUGAAGAAGGCCUUAGGGUUGUAAAGCACUUUCAAUUGGAAGGAAAACCUCGAAGCUAAUACCUUCGAGUUUGACAUUACCUUUAGAAGAAGCACCGGCUAACUCCGUGCCAGCAGCCGCGGUAA
rnacentral:rRNA from 1 species